GUCUGAAAGGAGAUGAGGCCAACUGCUGCUGUUUCCAGAGGACAAACAAGUCCAUGCAAAUGCUAUGCAAAUAUUAUGCAAAUAUUAAGCAAAGGAGCUCUGGUGGCUCAAACACACUCCUCACUCCAGGCCAGCAAGGGGCUGAGGACCUAUGCCAGUCCAGCCUCUCUGAGGACCCCUUGGGGACUGCUGCCCACCCCUCCCCUGGGGACCCUGGUUCUUCCUGGGCCCCCCAGGAGCAAUGGGCCCAGGCCCACCUCCUGCGCACACCCACCCUGAUGUAGUCGGCUCCAGGCCCACUGUCAUUCUUGUCGAGCAGGAUGACUCAGGUGGUGUCAACUGGGAAGGGAGGUGCCGCUCAGUUCUCCAGGGCAGAGCUCGUGGGCCCAACCCUGCCUCUUUGCCUGCGGACCCCGUGGAUACAGGAACCGGCAUUCCUGCUGCUACAGCAUCUGGAGGUGAUGGAGCCUUCAGUUCACAGCCCUGGCUCCUUCCCAGAGCCCUAGAUGGCCAACCCCACCUUGUCCUGUGUGGACAGAAGAGGACCUAGGUGCUGAGGCAAGA